CAGCAGAAUUUUAUCCAAGAUUAUCAUCUGAAGAAUGGCUCUGGAAGGCAGUGAGUAACCUCACUAUUUGUGUGACACUUUGAAUUCACACACAUCUCUGCAGCCAUCAGUAUGCAGUGUUGGGACCCUUUCUACUUCCCAGUGCAGAGGCUGAUUUCUUCCACCAGAUUGCAUGCUAAUGAAGAAAGGUUGCUGUUUUGUUAAGUGGCAAAUCUCAGGAUCCUUCUGCCAACAUCCAUACUGGGGAGUUAACUUGAGUUGCAUUAGGUUGUCUCCAAUUAGAAAACACAGUUAAAUGCUUGUCAAAAUAUAUUCCUCUGUGUUAACACAAAUAAAUUGUCUUGUCUUGA